rnacentral:rRNA from 1 species
AGAACGAACGCUGGCGGCAUGCCUAACACAUGCAAGUCGAACGAGGCCUUCGGGUCUAGUGGCGCACGGGUGCGUAACGCGUGGGAAUCUGCCCUUGGGUUCGGAAUAACAGUUAGAAAUGACUGCUAAUACCGGAUGAUGUCUUCGGACCAAAGAUUUAUCGCCCAGGGAUGAGCCCGCGUAGGAUUAGCUUGUUGGUGAGGUAAAAGCUCACCAAGGCGACGAUCCUUAGCUGGUCUGAGAGGAUGAUCAGCCACACUGGGACUGAGACACGGCCCAGACUCCUACGGGAGGCAGCAGUGGGGAAUA